rnacentral:rRNA from 1 species
GACGAACGCUGGCGGCGUGCUUAACACAUGCAAGUCGAACGGAAAGGCCUGCUUUCCCUUGUGGUUUGCGGGUACUCGAGUGGCCAACGGGUGAGUAACACGUGAGUGAUCUUCCCCCAACUUGGGUAUAAGCCUGGGAAACUGGGUCUAAUUCCCGAUAGUACUGCAGGGUGGUGCCUGUGGUGGAAAACGAUUUUCUAGUGGUUGGGGAUGAGCUCGCGGCCUAUCAGCUUGUUGGUGGGGUAAUGGCCUACCAAGGCGUCGACGGGUAGCCGGCCUGAGAGGGUGGACAGCCACAUUGAGACUGGGAUACGGCCCAGACGCGAAGGGGAGGCAGCAGUGGGGAAUAUUAGAAAGUGGGCGGAAGCCUGAUGCAGCGACGCGGCGUGGGGGAUGACGGACUUCGGGUUGUAAACUCCUUGCGACCGAGAGGAAGCCACCUGGUUGGAAGGGUGGUGACGGUAGUGGUAGAAGAAGCACCGGCUAACUACGUG